rnacentral:rRNA from 1 species
CCCUUAGAUGUUCUGGGCCGCACGCGCGCUACACUGAUGCAUUCAACGAGUCUAAAACCUGCUCUGAUAGGGGUGGGUAAUCUUUUGAAUGUGCAUCGUGAUUGGGAUAGAUGAUUGCAAUUUUUCAUCUUCAACGAGGAAUGCCUAGUAAACGCAAGUCAUCAGCUUGCAUUGAUUACGUCCCUGCCCUUUGUACACACCGCCCGUCGCUCCUACCGAUUGAAUGAUCCAAUGAAUAUCAUGGAUUGAGGAUGCAAGUAGGUUAGCCUAUCUUCAUCUUCGAGAAGUGAAGUAAAUCUUAUCAUUUAGAGGAAGGAGAAGUCGUAACA